UACGUAGGGGGCAAGCGUUAUCCGGAUUUACUGGGUGUAAAGGGAGCGUAGACGGCGAUGCAAGCCAGAUGUGAAAGCCCGGGGCUCAACCCCGGGACUGCAUUUGGAACUGUAUAGCUAGAGUGUCGGAGAGGCAGGCGGAAUUCCUAGUGUAGCGGUGAAAUGCGUAGAUAUUAGGAGGAACACCAGUGGCGAAGGCGGCCUGCUGGACGAUGACUGACGUUGAGGCUCGAAAGCGUGGGGAGCGAACAGG
rnacentral:rRNA from 1 species